rnacentral:rRNA from 1 species
AGAGUUUGAUCCUGGCUCAGGAUGAACGCUGGCGGCGUGCCUAACACAUGCAAGUCGAACGGGGUGUCUGAUCUUCGGACUGGACACUUAGUGGCGGACGGGUGAGUAACGCGUGGGUAACCUGCCUCAUACAGGGGGAUAGCAGUUGGAAACGACUGAUAAUACCGCAUAAGCGCACAGUACCGCAUGGUACAGUGUGAAAAAACUCCGGUGGUAUGAGAUGGACCCGCGUCUGAUUAGCUUGUUGGCGGGGUAACGGCCCACCAAGGCGACGAUCAGUAGCCGGCCUGAGAGGGUGAACGGCCACAUUGGGACUGAGACACGGCCCAAACUCCUACGGGAGGCAGCAGUGGGGAAUAUUGCACAAUGGGGGAAACCCUGAUGCAGCGAACCGCCGCGUGAAGGAUGAAGUAUUUCGGUAUGUAAACUUCUAUCAGCAGGGAAGAUGAUGACGGUACCUGACUAAGAAGCCCCGGCUAACUACGUGCCAGCAGCUGC